UGACGGCUCAGUCGGUAGAGCAUGAGACUCUUAAUUUUUCAGGGUUGUGGGUUCGAGCCCCAUGCUGGGCAAAA